UGGAUGUAGCAAUUUGACCUCAAUUCCUAAUGAGAUAGGCAGCCUCUCCUUGCUUAGAAAUCUUGAAAUUAGUGGAUGUAGCAAUUUGACCUCAAUUCCUAAUGAGAUAGGCAGCCUCUCCUCGCUUACAAGUCUUGAAAUUGAAGAAUUUAGCAAUUUGCCCUCAAUUCCUAAUGAGAUAAGCAGCCUCUCCUCGCUUACACGUCUUGACAUUUAUGGAUGUAGCAAUUUGACCUCAAUUCCUAAUGAGAUAGGCAGCCUCUCCUUGCUUACAAGUCUUAAAAUUAGUGGAUGCAGCUAUUUGACCUCAAUUCCUAAUGAGAUAGGCAGCCUCUCCUCGCUUACAAGUCUUGAAAUUGAAGAAUGUAGCAAUUUGACCUCAAUUCCUAAUGAGAUAAGCAGCCUCUCCUCGCUUACACGUCUUGACAUUUAUGGAUGUAGCAAGUUGACCUCAAUUCCUAAUGAGAUAGGCAGCCUCUCCUCGCUUACAAGUCUUGAAAUUAGUGGAUGUAGCAAUUUGACCUCAAUUCCUAAUGAGAUAUGUAGCCUCUCAUCGCUUAGAGAACUUAUAAUCAGUGGAUGUAGCAAUUUGACCUCAAUUCCCAAUGGGAUAGGCAGCCUCCCUGCUCUCAAGUCUGUUAACUGGAGGCCUUGCACUGAAAUACCAAUGGACGCAUUGGCUGACUACCUUCUGAGGAAAAACUCUCCUGCUCCACAACAUGUAUGAGAAAUCCAACUUCGGCUUGCUAGUUGUGGUGGAGUUUCUAGAACUAAUUGUUGAGGUUACAACAAAGUCUGCUUGUUGCCACGUUAGUAGAGUUUGGGUUCCUUGGCGCUUCUAUGCUCGAUGGACAACUGAAACUGGCUUCCUAAAGAGUAUUACUCAUUAGGCUUCUCGCAUAUAUCGUAAAGGCAAUUACGUAGCGAACAAGUUUGCUUCUUAUGCAACAUCUAUAAAAGAUUUUUUUUUUUUAAUAGUUUCAUCUCCGCUACUAUUUUUUGUAAAUAACCGACUCUAUGAGUAGAUAUGCACUCUUUUUCCCCUUUAGUCUUUUUUCCCACUGGGUUUUUGGCUAAAGGUUUUUAACGAGGCUUAUCUGUAGCAUCCUUUCAAAGAGAGAGUUUUGACUUAAUCCUCUGAGAGGUACUUCUGGUUAUCUGUUUAAUUUGUAGUUUGAUUUGUUGUAUUAUUCUUGUUUCCGUUUCCUGGGCUACUCUUUUGUAUUCUUCUAUUGUUCCUCUCAUAUCUUUUGUACUCUA